rnacentral:rRNA from 1 species
AACGAACGCUGGCGGCAGGCUUAACACAUGCAAGUCGAGCGGAGAGAGGUAGCUUGCUACUGAUCUUAGCGGCGGACGGGUGAGUAAUGCUUAGGAAUCUGCCUAUUAGUGGGGGACAACAUUUCGAAAGGAAUGCUAAUACCGCAUACGCCCUACGGGGGAAAGCAGGGGAGCUUCGGACCUUGCGCUAAUAGAUGAGCCUAAGUCGGAUUAGCUAGUUGGUGGGGUAAAGGCCUACCAAGGCGACGAUCUGUAGCGGGUCUGAGAGGAUGAUCCGACACAGUAGGACUGGAACACGGCCCAGAGUCCUGCGGGAGGCAGCAGUGGGGAAUAUUGGACAAUGGGCGGAAGCCUGAUCCAGCCAUGCCGCGUGUGUUAAGAAGGCCUUUUGGUUGUAAAGCACUUUAAUCGAGGAGGAGGCUCUUAAGGUUAAUACCCUUGAUGAGUGGACGUUACUCGCAGAAUAAGCACCGGCUAACUCUGUGCCAGCCGCCGCGGUAACAC